GCCCUGCUUCUCACAUGGACAACUGUAUGUUGGCUGCUCAAGAGUGGGCAGCAACAAAAAACCUAUUUGUAUAUGCUCCACAAGGGAAAACAAGGAACAUAGUUUACAAUGAGGUGUUAUAAUCACAACAGCAAGAAACAACUACUGCUUAAAGCAUGCACAUGAGUGUAAUUAUUUAUCGUCUGCUCACUUUAAAAAUUGAACCCAAGAAAGGAUGUGGAGAUAUAGAGCAUGGAGCAGAGAGGAACAGCAAGAAAAUAUUAAAAAAUGAAGAAAAAGACAACACCAACGGAGACAUGAGGAAAUUAAUGUAGACAAACAUGAAAAAUGUUUAAAGCUAAACUAUGAAUACUAAAAAACUGCAAAUCAUCCUUCCUUUCUUAAAUAGGUCCUCUUAAUUUUUUCCAUUCCAUGGAAUUUCCACAGGUCCCACUAGUAUGGGUGUGUUGUGACGCCUUUAUAGCAGACGAUAUUUUCGGAGUUUCUAUCCACGCAUGCGCAGGGACUAGUUCCGGUAGGAAUACAGGAAGAGUCUCAUGCACAUGCGUGGUCAUUCGAUAUCCAAGCUUCGGGCGGAUUUUCAUCCUCUUUCUCACUGGCCGACGAAGGGCCUAGACGUCGUCAACAGCCACUCUCCAACAUUCCAACUAUGGAGCUACACAAAUAACCAUGCAACUUCAUUGACGGCGUCUCAGUAACCAAAGGGCGAAGUGCUGCCGAAUUCUAUUGUAAUAAAUAUUGUUGUGUUGAUAGUUCAGAA